rnacentral:rRNA from 1 species
UACGAAGGGGGCUAGCGUUGUUCGGAAUUACUGGGCGUAAAGGGCGCGUAGGCGGCGUGUCAAGUCAGGCGUGAAAGCCCCGGGCUCAACCUGGGAACCGCGCUUGAGACUGGCAUGCUCGAGUCGGGAGAGGAUGGUGGAAUUCCCAGUGUAGAGGUGAAAUUCGUAGAUAUUGGGAAGAACACCGAUGGCGAAGGCAGCCA